rnacentral:rRNA from 1 species
CGUACACUCCUACGGGAGGCAGCAGUGGGGAAUAUUAGACAAUGGGCGCAAGCCUGAUCCAGCCAUGCCGCGUGAGUGAUGAAGGCCCUAGGGUUGUAAAGCUCUUUCACCGGUGAAGAUAAUGACGGUAACCGGAGAAGAAGCCCCGGCUAACUUCGUGCCAGCAGCCGCGGUAAUACGAAGGGGGCUCGCGUUGUUCGGAUUUACUGGGCGUAAAGCGCACGUAGGCGGACUAUUAAGUCAGGGGUGAAAUCCCGGGGCUCAACCCCGGAACUGCCUUUGAUACUGGUAGUCUUGAGUUCGAGAGAGGUGAGUGGAAUUCCGAGUGUAGAGGUGAAAUUCGUAGAUAUUCGGAGGAACACCAGUGGCGAAGGCGGCUCACUGGCUCGAUACUGACGCUGAGGUGCGAAAGCGUGGGGAGCAAACAGGAUUAGAAACCCUUGUAGUCCCAUGA